rnacentral:rRNA from 1 species
CGUUCCCGGGCCUUGUACACACCGCCCGUCAAGUCACGAAAGUCGGUAACACCCGAAGCCGGUGGCCCAACCCCUUGUGGGAGGGAGCUGUCGAAGGUGGGACUGGCGAUUGGGACU